UAAGCGGAGGAAAAGAAACCAACAGGGAUUGCCUCAGUAGCGGCGAGUGAAGCGGCAAAAGCUCAAAUUUGAAAUCUGGCGUCUUUGGCGUCCGAGUUGUAAUUUGAAGAAGGUAUCUUUGGGCCCGGCUCUUGUCUAUGUUCCUUGGAACAGGACGUCACAGAGGGUGAGAAUCCCGUGCGAUGAGAUGACCCGGGUCUGUGUAAAGUUCCUUCGACGAGUCGAGUUGUUUGGGAAUGCAGCUCUAAGUGGGUGGUAAAUUCCAUCUAAAGCUAAAUAUUGGCGAGAGACCGAUAGCGAACAAGUACAGUGAUGGAAAGAUGAAAAGAACUUUGAAAAGAGAGUGAAAAAGUACGUGAAAUUGUUGAAAGGGAAGGGCUUGAGAUCAGACUUGGUAUUUUGCAUGCUGCUCUCUCGGGGGCGGCCGCUGCGGUUUACCGGGCCAGCAUCGGUUUGGAGCGGCAGGAUAAUGGCGGAGGAAUGUGGCACGGCUUCUGCUGUGUGUUAUAGCCUCUGACGAUACUGCCAGCCUAGACCGAGGACUGCGGUUUUUACCUAGGAUGUUGGCAUAAUGAUCUUAAGUCGCCCGUCUUGA
rnacentral:rRNA from 1 species